CCUACGGGUGGCUGCAGUGGGGAAUAUUGGACAAUGGGCGAAAGCCUGAUCCAGCCAUGCCGCGUGUGUGAAGAAGGCCUUCGGGUUGUAAAGCACUUUCAGUGGGGAAGAAAGCCUUGGGGCUAAUACCCUCGAGGAAGGACAUCACCCACAGAAGAAGCACCGGCUAACUCCGUGCCAGCAGCCGCGGUAAUACGGAGGGUGCGAGCGUUAAUCGGAAUUACUGGGCGUAAAGCGCGCGUAGGCGGUCUGAUAAGCCGGUUGUGAAAGCCCCGGGCUCAACCUGGGAACGGCAUCCGGAACUGUCAGGCUAGAGUGCAGGAGAGGAAGGUAGAAUUCCCGGUGUAGCGGUGAAAUGCGUAGAGAUCGGGAGGAAUACCAGUGGCGAAGGCAGCCUUCUGGACUGACACUGACGCUGAGGUGCGAAAGCGUGGGUAGCAAACAGGAUUAGAUACCCUUGUAGUC
rnacentral:rRNA from 1 species